UUGGCCCAAUUGAUUGACGGUGCUUGCACCUGAUUGAUUUUGGUCGCCAACGAGUGGCGGACGGGUGAGUAACACGUAGGUAACCUGCCCAGAAGCGGGGGACAACAUUUGGAAACAGAUGCUAAUACCGCAUAACAACGUUGUUCGCAUGAACAACGCUUAAAAGAUGGCUUCUCGCUAUCACUUCUGGAUGGACCUGCGGUGCAUUAGCUUGUUGGUGGGGUAACGGCCUACCAAGGCGAUGAUGCAUAGCCAAGUUGAGAGACUGAUCGGCCACAAUGGGACUGAGACACGGCCCAUACUCCUACGGGAGGCAGCAGUAGGGAAUCUUCCACAAUGGGCGCAAGCCUGAUGGAGCAACACCGCGUGAGUGAAGAAGGGUUUCGGCUCGUAAAGCUCUGUUGUUAAAGAAGAACACGUAUGAGAGUAACUGUUCAUACGUUGACGGUAUUUAACCAGAAAGUCACGGCUAACUACGUGCCAGCAGCCGCGGUAAUACGUAGGUGGCAAGCGUUAUCCGGAUUUAUUGGGCGUAAAGAGAGUGCAGGCGGUUUUCUAAGUCUGAUGUGAAAGCCUUCGGCUUAACCGGAGAAGUGCAUCGGAAACUGGAUAACUUGAGUGCAGAAGAGGGUAGUGGAACUCCAUGUGUAGCGGUGGAAUGCGUAGAUAUAUGGAAGAACACCAGUGGCGAAGGCGGCUACCUGGUCUGCAACUGACGCUGAGACUCGAAAGCAUGGGUAGCGAACAGGAUUAGAUACCCUGGUAGUCCAUGCCGUAAACGAUGAGUGCUAGGUGUUGGAAGGGUUUCCGCCCUUCAGUGCCGGAGCUAACGCAUUAAGCACUCCGCCUGGGGGAGUACGACCGCAAGGUUGAAACUCAAAGGAAUUGACGGGGGCCCGC
rnacentral:rRNA from 1 species